UAGACAGUGCGGAUAUUCAGUGUGACGUGUUCGUGGGAGGAUAUAAGGGUAAUUGUGCGAGAGGUGCACGUGUGUGUGUGUGGGGUGGGAGCAUGGGAUUACUCCCCAUGCCAAUAAUUUCCCCAGGAGACUACUUUCUCCCAUUUCUCUUUUCUCACUCUCUCGGCACUUUCUCUCCUCCUCUCCUCCGAAAAACUCCCUCCUCUCUUCUCUCUUCGAUUUCAUCUACCUAGGGGGUGAUUCCGGACAAGGCCCGAGAAUUAAAGUUGCUAUACGAAGCAUGGCCUUUCCGAAUAUCCAAGAAAAAUCACGAUCGGACCACGUGGGAGCUCGGUUGACUUAGUCAAAGGUUCAGGUUUUGCUCAAAACCCAUGAGCGUACAGGGCCGCGGGUUUUUCAUCGUUUGUUAUAGCUAAAUGACGCUAUUGGUUAUGGGUCCUUAUGGGUUUUAAAGAUUGGUAAGUUUUGAUCUUUUGGCGUUGGAAUCAUUGAAAAAUAUUGAAUGUGGAAUUUUUAAUAAUUGUCAAACACUGACUGCUCUCUGGGACAGUUUUGGUCCGUUGAUUCUCUUUUGUCUGUUUUGACUCUCAAUCACUUCUAACACCUUUUAAACAUCGUUAAACCAUCCCUAAGCUUGAUUACUUGAGUUCCUAUGAGUUAAUGAUCAUUCGAAUUCCUUUGAUACCCAUUGAGCGUAAUCUUAGUGUUGUUGUAAAUGGAAUAUGUGAUUUAAGGUUGUUUAGGAGUACCGAAGGCUAAGUGAGACGUUGUGGGAAGUAUAGUUGGUAGACGUGAGCUUUUCUAGUGAUCCGAGUGGUAGCAUAGUAAUCCGUGUCCGCAUGAUUCACUUAUCCUUCAAACUCUUUUGGCGCUCGUUCCACGAGAUCAAAGUAAUCAAUAUUAGUAAGUAGUAUGUUGUAGAGUCGCUAUGGAGUCGGUACGAUAUUGUGCUGUACUAAGAGAGAAAGGCGUGUACUGAUUUGUCAGUCGAUGUUCUGUUAUGAUUGAUCGUUUGGAAUACUUUGAAAUGUGAUUGUCGAUGCGUGUUUGACCUAUAAAUCAGUUUGAUUGACGUGCCUUAUUGUGUCAUGAGAUUAGAGAAGUGUUUGUUGAAUGAGUUGUAUGAUUGUUGGGAUUUGAAUGGUUGUAAUUGAGAAUUUGAAUGAGGAAGUGACUGCAACGCAAGUGGUGGAAAUGCAGACUGCAACGCAAGGGGUGGUAAUGCAGAGACCCAAAUAAUGGGUGAUGUUGACUGCAACGCAAGGGGUGGAAAUGCAAACUGCAACGCAAGGGGUGGAAAUGCAGAGUGGUUGAGAUUAUGAGAAGUGUCGAAAUGGUUGCGAACCUAUUGUGAGUACGUUUGAUUGAUGUGAUUUUAAUAAUAUUUCUACAUAACAUGUGAACGGUUAGGAAUACUUACAAGUUGUUUGGAGCUCUUUGGCCGUAGUCUGUCUUUCGUUGUGAUAAACUCGUGUUUCUCAUGUUCACUUAUCGAAUUCUUUCACUCUUUGUGCAUACUUCAUCGCAUUUUCAUAUAGCUUGAGUAUAGAUUUCUCUACUGGGCUAGUGUAGCUCAACCUACCAUUUUCAGGUACACUACAUGGACACAGUCUUGGAGGGUGUGAAGUGCAUGCAGACAUCACAGGCUAAAGUUAUUUUCUGAAGAACUUGUCUUUCCCUUGUAAAUCAAACUGUAUUGUAUUAUUUUCUCUAACUUGGAAUACUGUAUCAAUUGACAAAAUUGUGAGAUUUAGAAACUGUAUGUCGUAAUUUGGGGUACCAUAUAUACUAUUGUGAGGAUUUAUAUUUAAAAUGGUAUUGUUAUUUAUGUUAAAAA